CACGUCGGCUCCCCUCCCCCAACACCGUUCGGAAUCCUUGGGUCAACCGCCUCCGUCUCCACAGCAACGGAGUUUCAGAGCGCGCGGCAGCUUGGGGGCGGGGUUCCCAGUCCCCCGGUCAAAUUUUAGGACUUUUCAGCAGGAAAGCUGCACAACUGGAGGAGGGCAGGACGAGGCUGGCCUCGCAGGUCGGGCUACGUUCUUCUACGGUCUGAGGCGUUGUCUAGAAACUCAAAAUCUCUGGAAUCCCAUCCAGGACUCCUCCAUCAAGAUUUCUUCCGAUCCUGAGUAACCAAGAUUGGAAUACUGACCCCUUCAGGAGGCAGCCCAUGCCGUUUUUUCCCAACCGCUCUAAUCUGCCCCAAAUGCUUCCUUAUAUGAAUCCAAAUUUGUCUCUCCUUGACCUCUACCCUCUGCACUGUUUCAGCCUCCGCCUCUGGGGCCUUACUAAACAAGUCCAAUCACCCUUCCACGUGACCCCUUAUCUAACUGUAGGUGGGAUUAAUGUACUUAUCUGCCCAAACAGCUCCAGUCCUUUAAACUGCCUUUUAUUGAUUGGAGCCCACCCAGGAUACUACAUUACAUUCAGAUGUCAUGUCUCCUUAGGCUCCUGCAGACUGACAAUUUCUCAAACUUUGUUUUUGAUGACUUUGACAAUUUUGAGGUGGUAUGAUAAUUUGUGAAGUGUUUCUCAUGCUUAGCCUGGAGUUACAAGGUUGGAGAAAAAGACCAAAGAUGUGAAGUGCCAUUCUCAUCACAUCAUGUCAAGGGUACAUGCUGUUAACAUGAAUUAACAUCGAUGAUGUUAACCUUGAUGUCCUGGCUGAGAUGAACUCUCUUGGAUAGAAGGAUUCAAACAGAAAAAUGCAAAAAGAAGUCAGAUGGAAAACUCUGGAAAAUCCAAGAAGGGAGCUAGUUGAUGAUGAGCAAAGCCACAUGUGCUGUCUUGACAGCCAUAGAGAAGAAUGGAGGCCUCCAUACCUGAGUGGAAAGAGAAGAACAUGGGCAAUGAUUUUGUCUCUACAAAACAACAACAACAACAGACAAACAAAAUUAGCUGAGUGUGGUG
rnacentral:lncRNA from 1 species